CUUAUGGUGUAAUGGAUAGCACAAUGGUCUUCGGAACCAUUAGCGAGGGUUCGAAUCCUUCUAGGCG
rnacentral:tRNA from 1 species